UCUAGUAUGGCAGAUUAGUGCGAUGAAUUUAAGAUUCAUAUAUAAAAAUUAUUUUUUUGUUGGAA
rnacentral:tRNA from 1 species